rnacentral:rRNA from 1 species
GACGAACGCUGGCGGCGUGCUUAACACAUGCAAGUCGAACGGAAAGGCCCUGCUUUUGUGGGGUGCUCGAGUGGCGAACGGGUGAGUAACACGUGAGUAACCUGCCCUUGACUUUGGGAUAACUUCAGGAAACUGGGGCUAAUACCGGAUAGGAGCUCCUGCUGCAUGGUGGGGGUUGGAAAGUUUCGGCGGUUGGGGAUGGACUCGCGGCUUAUCAGCUUGUUGGUGGGGUAGUGGCUUACCAAGGCUUUGACGGGUAGCCGGCCUGAGAGGGUGACCGGCCACAUUGGGACUGAGAUACGGCCCAGACUACUACGGGAGGCAGCAGUGGGGAAUAUUGCACAAUGGGCGGAAGACUGAUGCAGCAACGCCGCGUGCGGGAUGACGGCCUUCGGGUUGUAAACCGCUUUCGCCUGUGACGAAGCGUGAGUGACGGUAAUGGGUAAAGAAGCACCGGCUAGCUACGUG